UACGUAGGGACCAAGCGUUGUUCGGAUUUACUAGGCGUAAAGGGCGCGUAGGCGGCAAUUCAAGUCAGCUGUGAAAUCUCCGGGCUUAACUCGGAACGGUCAGCUGAUACUGCUUUGCUAGAGUGCAGAAGGGGCAAUCGGAAUUCUUGGUGUAGCGGUGAAAUGCGUAGAUAUCAAGAGGAACACCUGAGGUGAAGACGGGUUGCCGGGCUGACACUGACGCUGAGGCGCGAAAGCUAGGGUAGCAAACGGG
rnacentral:rRNA from 1 species